UACGUAGGGGCGAAGCGUUAUCCGGAAUUAUUGGGCGUAAAGCGUGCGUAGGCGGAAUGUUAAGUCAUUUGUAAAAGAAUCUCAGCCCAACUGAGUAAGGCGAAUGAAACUGGCAAUCUUGAAUACGGUAGAGGUAAGUGGAAUUCCAUGUGUAGCGGUGGAAUGCGUAGAUAUAUGGAGGAACACCGAUGGCGAAGGCAGCUUACUGGGCCGGAAUUGACGCUGAGGCACGAAAGCGUGGGGAGCAAACAGG
rnacentral:rRNA from 1 species